GGAGACGUGGCUGAGUGGCCGAAAGCAGCCGCCUGCUAAGCGGUUAGGGGGGUAACACUCCCUCGCGCGUUCGAAUCGCGCCGUCUCCG
rnacentral:tRNA from 1 species